rnacentral:snoRNA from 1 species
CAAAAUGAUGAGAGAAUAAAACACAGACCUGUACUGAGCUAUAAUGCGGAUAAAAUUUUAUUGCCUUUGCUGAAC